rnacentral:tRNA from 1 species
GGGGCUGUAGCUUGUGGUAAAGCAUCUGCCUAACAUGUAGGAAAUCCUGGGCUCAAACCCAGCAUCACAA